rnacentral:misc_RNA from 1 species
GAUGAAGAACGUAGUGAAAUGCGACAAGUAAUGUGAAUUGCAGAAUUCCGUGAAUCAUCGAAUCUUUGAACGCACAUUGCGCCCGCCAGUAUUCUGGCGGGCAUGCCUGUCCGAGCGUCAUUUCAACCAUCAAGCCCCGGGCUUGUGUUGGGGACCUGCGUCCGACGCAGGCCCCGAAAACCAGUGGCGGGCUCGCUGUCCACACCGAGCGUAGUAGCUAACCUCGCUCCGGAGUGGCGCGGGCGCCUGCCGUAAAACCCCCCAAUUUUACAAGGUUGACCUCGGAUCAGGUAGGAAUACCCGCUGAACUUAAGCAUAUCAAUAAGCGGAGGA